AGCCAGCCAGGAGUGAAGACGACAGGUUUGCUGUCUCCUUUGCCUGUGGGUCUGGGGCCCCAGCCUGGGGGAGACCCGUGACUCCAGGCAUGCUAUCAGGACAACUUCAACCCGAGGGGAGAUCAGCUCUCCCGCAACCUGGUGCCGCUCUCUGACAGCACAACAGAACCUAAGGGGCUACAGGAUGAUUCAAGGAACAGUGUGCUACAGGACCUCGGUAUUCCUGCUGAGAGUCAUUUCCUGUGCUGGAUUUACCAUCACAGGGACCAGAUUUAUAGAAAAAUGAACAUGUAUUGUUGCUAAAUGGAGUUGGUCAUGGAGUGGAAACUAACAAUAUGUUCACCUUAGAAAUGUGCUACAACCACUCAAGGUCUGCAAACAGAUUCCUAUUUAGAUGUUGUUGAGAGCUGAAUUUCUGGAACAAGAGAUAUAGAUUAAGACUGUUGUUACAUGUUGCCUACAUGACUUUCAAAAGCUUGAUUCCCAGUGGCGCUCUCAACAGCAGUCAUAAACAAUGAUGCAGUAAAGACUUUUGACAAAAUUUAACGUCUCUUCAUGUUAACAACCCUCAACAAACUGGGCAUUGAAGAAACAUACUCUAAAAUAAUAAGAACCGUCUAUGACAAGCCUAUAGCAAACAUCGUACUGAAUGGGCAAAGGCUAGAAGCACUCCCCAUGAAAACCGGAACAAGACGAGGAUGCCCAAUCUCACCACUCCUAUUUACCAUAAUACUGGAUGUCCAGGUCAGAGCAUUCAGGCAAGAGAAAGAAAGAAAAGCCAUCCAAAUAGGAAGAGAAAAAGUCGUACUAUCCCUUUUUACCAAUGAUAUAAUUCUAUACCUUGAAAGUCCCAUAGUCUCUGCCCAAGAACUCCUUGAUCUGAUAAACAACUUCAUCAAAGUGUCAGGAUGCAAAAUCAAUGUGCAAAAAUCAGUAGCAUUCCUAUACAACAAUAACAUGCAAGUUUCUAAGCUUACAUGGUUCUAGCCAUGCCUCUUAUUGUUAAAAUAAUGAC
rnacentral:lncRNA from 1 species